GAGGGUAUAGCUCAGUUGUACAGUGCGUGCCUAGCACGCAGGAGGUCUUGGGUUCGAUCCCCAGCACCGCCA
rnacentral:tRNA from 1 species